rnacentral:rRNA from 1 species
GGUUAAGCGACUAAGCGUACACGGUGGAUGCCCUGGCAGUCAGAGGCGAUGAAGGACGUGCUAAUCUGCGAUAAGCGUCGGUAAGGUGAUAUGAACCGUUAUAACCGGCGAUUUCCGAAUGGGGAAACCCAGUGUGAUUCGUCACACUAUCAUUAACUGAAUCCAUAGGUUAAUGAGGCGAACCGGGGGAACUGAAACAUCUAAGUACCCCGAGGAAAAGAAAUCAACCGAGAUUCCCCCAGUAGCGGCGAGCGAACGGGGAGCAGCCCAGAGCCUGAAUCAGUGUGUGUGUUAGUGGAAGCGUCUGGAAAGGCGCGCGAUACAGGGUGACAGCCCCGUACACAAAAAUGCACAUGCUGUGAGCUCGAUGAGUAGGGCGGGACACGUGGUAUCCUGUCUGAAUAUGGGGGGACCAUCCUCCAAGGCUAAAUACUCCUGACUGACCGAUAGUGAACCAGUACCGUGAGGGAAAGGCGAAAAGAACCCCGGCGAGGGGAGUGAAAAAGAACCUGAAACCGUGUACGUACAAGCAGUGGGAGCACGCUUCGGCGUGUGACUGCGUACCUUUUGUAUAAUGGGUCAGCGACUUAUAUUCUGUAGCAAGGUUAACCGAAUAGGGGAGCCGAAGGGAAACCGAGUCUUAACUGGGCGUUAAGUUGCAGGGUAUAGACCCGAAACCCGGUGAUCUAGCCAUGGGCAGGUUGAAGGUUGGGUAACACUAACUGGAGGACCGAACCGACUAAUGUUGAAAAAUUAGCGGAUGACUUGUGGCUGGGGGUGAAAGGCCAAUCAAACCGGGAGAUAGCUGGUUCUCCCCGAAAGCUAUUUAGGUAGCGCCUCGUGAAUUCAUCUCCGGGGGUAGAGCACUGUUUCGGCAAGGGGGUCAUCCCGACUUACCAACCCGAUGCAAACUGCGAAUACCGGAGAAUGUUAUCACGGGAGACACACGGCGGGUGCUAACGUCCGUCGUGAAGAGGGAAACAACCCAGACCGCCAGCUAAGGUCCCAAAGUCAUGGUUAAGUGGGAAACGAUGUGGGAAGGCCCAGACAGCCAGGAUGUUGGCUUAGAAGCAGCCAUCAUUUAAAGAAAGCGUAAUAGCUCACUGGUCGAGUCGGCCUGCGCGGAAGAUGUAACGGGGCUAAACCAUGCACCGAAGCUGCGGCAGCGACACUAUGUGUUGUUGGGUAGGGGAGCGUUCUGUAAGCCUGUGAAGGUGUACUGUGAGGUAUGCUGGAGGUAUCAGAAGUGCGAAUGCUGACAUAAGUAACGAUAAAGCGGGUGAAAAGCCCGCUCGCCGGAAGACCAAGGGUUCCUGUCCAACGUUAAUCGGGGCAGGGUGAGUCGACCCCUAAGGCGAGGCCGAAAGGCGUAGUCGAUGGGAAACAGGUUAAUAUUCCUGUACUUGGUGUUACUGCGAAGGGGGGACGGAGAAGGCUAUGUUGGCCGGGCGACGGUUGUCCCGGUUUAAGCGUGUAGGCUGGUUUUCCAGGCAAAUCCGGAAAAUCAAGGCUGAGGCGUGAUGACGAGGCACUACGGUGCUGAAGCAACAAAUGCCCUGCUUCCAGGAAAAGCCUCUAAGCAUCAGGUAACAUCAAAUCGUACCCCAAACCGACACAGGUGGUCAGGUAGAGAAUACCAAGGCGCUUGAGAGAACUCGGGUGAAGGAACUAGGCAAAAUGGUGCCGUAACUUCGGGAGAAGGCACGCUGAUAUGUAGGUGAAGUCCCUCGCGGAUGGAGCUGAAAUCAGUCGAAGAUACCAGCUGGCUGCAACUGUUUAUUAAAAACACAGCACUGUGCAAACACGAAAGUGGACGUAUACGGUGUGACGCCUGCCCGGUGCCGGAAGGUUAAUUGAUGGGGUUAGCGCAAGCGAAGCUCUUGAUCGAAGCCCCGGUAAACGGCGGCCGUAACUAUAACGGUCCUAAGGUAGCGAAAUUCCUUGUCGGGUAAGUUCCGACCUGCACGAAUGGCGUAAUGAUGGCCAGGCUGUCUCCACCCGAGACUCAGUGAAAUUGAACUCGCUGUGAAGAUGCAGUGUACCCGCGGCAAGACGGAAAGACCCCGUGAACCUUUACUAUAGCUUGACACUGAACAUUGAGCCUUGAUGUGUAGGAUAGGUGGGAGGCUUUGAAGUGUGGACGCCAGUCUGCAUGGAGCCGACCUUGAAAUACCACCCUUUAAUGUUUGAUGUUCUAACGUUGGCCCGUGAUCCGGGUUGCGGACAGUGUCUGGUGGGUAGUUUGACUGGGGCGGUCUCCUCCUAAAGAGUAACGGAGGAGCACGAAGGUUGGCUAAUCCUGGUCGGACAUCAGGAGGUUAGUGCAAUGGCAUAAGCCAGCUUGACUGCGAGCGUGACGGCGCGAGCAGGUGCGAAAGCAGGUCAUAGUGAUCCGGUGGUUCUGAAUGGAAGGGCCAUCGCUCAACGGAUAAAAGGUACUCCGGGGAUAACAGGCUGAUACCGCCCAAGAGUUCAUAUCGACGGCGGUGUUUGGCACCUCGAUGUCGGCUCAUCACAUCCUGGGGCUGAAGUAGGUCCCAAGGGUAUGGCUGUUCGCCAUUUAAAGUGGUACGCGAGCUGGGUUUAGAACGUCGUGAGACAGUUCGGUCCCUAUCUGCCGUGGGCGCUGGAGAACUGAGGGGGGCUGCUCCUAGUACGAGAGGACCGGAGUGGACGCAUCACUGGUGUUCGGGUUGUCAUGCCAAUGGCACUGCCCGGUAGCUAAAUGCGGAAGAGAUAAGUGCUGAAAGCAUCUAAGCACGAAACUUGCCCCGAGAUGAGUUCUCCCUGACUCCCUGAGAGUCCUGAAGGAACGUUGAAGACGACGACGUUGAUAGGCCGGGUGUGUAAGCGCAGCGAUGCGUUGAGCUAACCGGUACUAAUGAA